rnacentral:misc_RNA from 1 species
GAGUCUACAAACUCCAAACCCAUGUGAACAUACCAUCGUUGCUUCGGCGGGUCACCCCGGGCGCCUCGGCGCCCCGGACCCAGGUGCCCGCCGGAGGACCCAAACUCUUGUUUCUAGCAGUGGCAUCUUCUGAGUAAUUUUAUAAAUAAAUCAAAACUUUCAACAACGGAUCUCUUGGCUCU